rnacentral:rRNA from 1 species
GUNGAGCNGAAAGGCCCUUCGGGGUACUCGAGCGGCGAACGGGUGCGGAACACGUGAGUAACCUGCCCCUGACUCUGGGAUAAGCCCGGGAAACUGGGUCUAAUACCGGAUACGACACCGUUCCCGAUGGGAUGCGUGUGGACAGUCUUUUCGGUUGGGGAUGGACUCGCGGCCUAUCAGCUUGUUGGUGGGGUAACGGCCUACCAAGGCGACGACGGGUAGCCGGCCUGAGAGGGCGACCGGCCACACUGGGACUGAGACACGGCCCAGACUCCUACGGGAGGCAGCAGUGGGGAAUAUUGCGCAAUGGGCGGAAGCCUGACAGCGACGCCGCGUGGGGGAUGACGGACUUCGGGUUGUAAACCUCUUUCAGCAGGGACGAAGUUGACGUGUACCUGCAGAAGAAGCGCCGGCUAACUACGUGCCAGCAGCCGCGGUAAUACGUAGGGCCAAGCGUUGUCCGGAAUUAUUGGGCGUAAAGAGCUCGUAGGUGGCUUGUCGCGUCGGAUGUGAAAGCUUGGGGCUUAACUCCAGGUCUGCACUNGAUCGGGCUGGCUAGAGGUAGGCAGGGGAGANCGGAAU